rnacentral:rRNA from 1 species
UACGUAGGUGGCGAGCGUUGUCCGGAUUUACUGGGCGUAAAGAGCGCGCAGGCGGUCGUACAAGUCGCGUGUGGAAGCCCCCGGCUCAACUGGGGAGGGUCACGCGAUACUGUUCGACUCGAAGGCAGGAGAGGGUAGUGGAAUUCCCGGUGUAGUGGUGAAAUGCGUAGAUAUCGGGAGGAACACCAGUGGCGAAGGCGACUACCUGGCCUGUUCUUGACGCUGAGGCGCGAAAGCUAGGGUAGCAAACGGG